ACUGUAGAAGAGACCAUGAGAAGGAAUGUAAGCGUCCUUAAGGAGCUAUGAGAGAGGUCACAGUGACUGCCAGCCAGGAAACAGUGACCUCAGGCCUACAACUUCGAAGAACUGAAUUCUGCCAAUAGCUUGAAUUAGUUUAAAAGUGGGAACUCCUCAGAGCCUCCACACAAGGCUGACACCUGACCUCAGCCUUGCCAGGCCCUAAGAAGACAGCCCAGCCAACCAGGGAAUGCAGCCAAGCCAGCCUGGACCUCUGCCCUACACAACUGCUGGCUAGAUUCUGCUUUAGGACUGUGAUAGAAUGACUGGUAUUGGAUUAUUCCUCCUGUGACAGACAAUCACAAAACUGGAAAAACAUGUGAAACAACCAUUGUCAGACAUUGGAAACUGAAUGCAAAGGAUGAUCCCUGAGAGAGAGUCAUUAGAAGUGAACAGACUUUUUAAAGCAAAAUUAAUAAGGUUAUAAGGGGAUUUUACAGUUGCAGAAGCAAAAGACAUGACAACGUAGCACAAAGGUCAAUAAUAAGAAGCAACUCGGUAAAAAUAAGCAAAAGAUUUGGCUACUUCACAAAAGAAGAUAUUUAAAUAAGCCAAUAAGCACAUGAAAAAAUGCUCGACGUCUUCCAUGGUGAGGGAAAAGGAAGUUAUAACUGUAGUAAGAUCCUCUUACAAAUGCACGAGGAUACUAUUAUUAAUAAAACUGACAAUAGCAAAUGUUGGUGAGAAUCAAGAGCAACUGGAAUUUCCUAUAUUACUGGUGGGAGUAUAAAAUGACACAAUCUUUUUGGGAAACACUUUGGCAGUCUUUUAUUAAGUUAUUCAUACACUUGCUAACAAUUUUUCUCCUAAGUAUUUAUCCAAGAUAAUUGAAAGCAUAUAUCUACCCAGACUUGUAUACGUUCAUUUGAGCAGCUUUAUUCAAACUAGCCAAAAACAGGAAAUAAUCCAAAUGUUUAUACAAAAGUGAAUGGAUAAACAAAUUAUGAUGUAUUCAUAUCACAGAAUUCUUUUCAGCAAUAAAAAAAGAACAAGCAUUGAUAUAUACAAAAACACAGAUGAAUCUCAAAAACUUGAGCUGAUCUAAAGAAGCCAGGAACAAGAGUCCAUGCUGUAUAUUCCAUUUAUAUGAAAUUCUAGAGCAAACAUAAUUAAGCUCUAUUGAUAGAAAACAGGUCCUUGAUUGCCUGGGGCAGGAUAAAGGGUAAAUGAUCGCAAAAAGGCAUAAAGUAAAUGUUGGCAGACAAUGAAAAUAUUCAGUAACUGUCUUGACUGGGAUGGAAGUUAUAAAAAUAUAUACAUUUAUCAGAUCAUGUUGACUUGCAUCGUAUAAUAUGGUGCAGGUUAUGUUAUAGAAAUAUCUCAGUGACUUGACUCAAAUGACUUAAAAUUGGCAUGUCACUGUAUUGUGGAUUGCUGCCACAUGGCAUUUCUACUCUUAGACCCACAUCACCCAGAAAUCCAGACAGAGGUAAAGGGAUAGCAAUGUGGCAACGGAAAAGAGAAAAGAAAAACUAAAGUUUAUGGUUUCUGAGUGCUUGCUUGUUACCUUAAAAAUAUGUUUUAUAAUUUUUGAAAGUUAGAAAAUGCUGGAUAGUGAAGGGGAAAUUUAUUCAGGUGCAUGUAUGAAAACUCAGUCUGGAAAUAGAAACUUAGCAUUUCUUUCUGGCAUGUGCCAUCACAUACAAAGUAAUAAAUAUGUGGAUUUUCUAAGAAUUAGAAGACAUCUAAAUGCAUUCAACACUAAAAUUCUGCUGAAGAGAGUUGACUCUUUGAUGACUCACCAAGCCUGUCAUCCCCAGGCCCAACAUUUAUAAACAUUCUGCUGGCAAAGAGCUCAGAAUUGGCAUCAGAGAUUAAUGUUUCCUGUUUAUAGAGUAUGAAAUGCAUGGGAUUUAAUGCAGUAGUGUUUAAAAGAAGGCUUUUAGAAGUAUAAAGGAAUGAGUCUAAUGUAGGAGAUCUCAGGAAUGACAGGGGAGAAUGAGGUAAACACAGUUUUCAUCAUCCUUGGAAACGUGUAACCCCAAGCAAGUUUUUUUCCUUCCUAAUUUCCUACAGAAGUGGCCUAAAGCUAUUUUCCUUAGCUGACAAGUUGAAAUAAACAAUUUAUAUUUUCUUGGAAA